rnacentral:rRNA from 1 species
GUGCGGCGUGCUAUACAUGCAGUCGAGCGAACAGACGAGGAGCUUGCUCCUUUGACGUUAGCGGCGGACGGGUGAGUAACACGUGGGUAACCUACCUAUAAGACUGGGAUAACUUCGGGAAACCGGAGCUAAUACCGGAUAAUAUUUCGAACCGCAUGGUUCGAUAGUGAAAGAUGGCUUUGCUAUCACUUAUAGAUGGACCUGCGCCGUAUUAGCUAGUUGGUAAGGUAACGGCUUACCAAGGCAACGAUACGUAGCCGACCUGAGAGGGUGAUCGGCCACACUGGAACUGAGACACGGUCCAGACUCCUACGGGAGGCAGCAGUAGGGAAUCUUCCGCAAUGGGCGAAAGCCUGACGGAGCAACGCCGCGUGAGUGAUGAAGGUCUUCGGAUCGUAAAACUCUGUUAUUAGGGAAGAACAAACGUGUAAGUAACUGUGCACGUCUUGACGGUACCUAAUCAGAAAGCCACGGCUAACUACGUGCCAGCAGCCGCGGUAAUACGUAGGUGGCAAGCGUUAUCCGGAAUUAUUGGGCGUAAAGCGCGCGUAGGCGGUUUUUUAAGUCUGAUGUGAAAGCCCACGGCUCAACCGUGGAGGGUCAUUGGAAACUGGAAAACUUGAGUGCAGAAGAGGAAAGUGGAAUUCCAUGUGUAGCGGUGAAAUGCGCAGAGAUAUGGAGGAACACCAGUGGCGAAGGCGACUUUCUGGUCUGUAACUGACGCUGAUGUGCGAAAGCGUGGGGAUCAAACAGGAUUAGAUACCCUGGUAGUCCACGCCGUAAACGAUGAGUGCUAAGUGUUAGGGGGUUUCCGCCCCUUAGUGCUGCAGCUAACGCAUUAAGCACUCCGCCUGGGGAGUACGACCGCAAGGUUGAAACUCAAAGGAAUUGACGGGGACCCGCACAAGCGGUGGAGCAUGUGGUUUAAUUCGAAGCAACGCGAAGAACCUUACCAAAUCUUGACAUCCUUUGACCCUUCUAGAGAUAGAAGUUUCCCCUUCGGGGGACAAAGUGACAGGUGGUGCAUGGUUGUCGUCAGCUCGUGUCGUGAGAUGUUGGGUUAAGUCCCGCAACGAGCGCAACCCUUAAGCUUAGUUGCCAUCAUUAAGUUGGGCACUCUAAGUUGACUGCCGGUGACAAACCGGAGGAAGGUGGGGAUGACGUCAAAUCAUCAUGCCCCUUAUGAUUUGGGCUACACACGUGCUACAAUGGACAAUACAAAGGGCAGCGAAACCGCGAGGUCAAGCAAAUCCCAUAAAGUUGUUCUCAGUUCGGAUUGUAGUCUGCAACUCGACUACAUGAAGCUGGAAUCGCUAGUAAUCGUAGAUCAGCAUGCUACGGUGAAUACGUUCCCGGGUCUUGUACACACCGCCCGUCACACCACGAGAGUUUGUAACACCCGAAGCCGGUGGAGUAACCAUUGGAGCUAGCCGUCGAAGUG